rnacentral:rRNA from 1 species
AUACGUAGGGAGCGAGCGUUGUCCGGAAUUACUGGGCGUAAAGGGCGCGUAGGCGGCGCUUCAAGUCGUCUGUCAAAUGGGAGGGCUUAACCCUUUUUCGCAGACGAAACUGGAGAGCUUGAGAAGCAGAGAGGCAAACAGAAUUCCUGGUGUAGCGGUGAAAUGCGUAGAUAUCAGGAAGAAUACCAGUGGCGAAGGCGGUUUGCUGGCUGCAUACUGACGCUGAAGCGCGAAAGCCAGGGGAGCAAACGGGAUUAGAUACCCCGGUAGUCCUGGCAGUAAACGAUGUAUGCUGGGUGUGGGAGUAGCGAUACCUCCGUGCCGAAGUUAACGCGAUAAGCAUACCGCCUGGGGAGUACGGUCGCAAGAUUGAAACUCAAAGGAAUUGGCGGGG